rnacentral:lncRNA from 1 species
AUGAUCACACCCAGUCCAGGAAGAGAAAGGCAAAUGCCGUGUGGUUAUCACUCCACAUGGAAUCUAAAAUUCGACGCACGGUUAUGUGCACGUUUACAUCCAUAUUUGCACCAGGGAAAGGCAGGGCAAGAGGUCAGGGACCCACUCCUGGAGGGGUCCAUCCCUACUGUGCAGUCGCUCGGUCAUGUCCGACUCUUUGCCACCCCGUGGACUGUAGCUCACCAGGCCCCUCUGUCCCUGGGAGUCUCCAGACAAGAAUAUGGAGGGGGUUGCCAUUUCCUCCGCCAGGGGAUUACCACUGAGCCACCAGGGAAGCUUUGGAGGGUGACCCUUGGCAAAUCCAGGGGCAUCGCCCUGACCAACCAAGUACGUCUGGCCAUGGGCAGGGGUGGGGGGGGUUGGACCUGGGGUGGCAUCGGUACUGCAUCCUAGAUGACUGGGCUCUUCCCUUGUCAUUUUCUCCAGGUGGAUAAAGUCGGGUGUGUGUGUGUGUGGCCAUGUCAGCUGGUCCUCUAAGCCACAAGUCCCCGAAUGCCUGGCCUAGGGUCGCUGUGUAGAACCUCCCCGUUCACUGGGCGACAAGUCGGUGGGUGGAUGAGUCCAGGGUUAGUUAGUCCGGCGGCUCCAGGAGCAGGCGCCCAGCCCACCUCCCUGCGCUCCCCCUGGUGCCCACCAGGUGGCGGCAGAGCGUCGCCUUUCCCUCUACGCGCGCGGGAGCAGGAAGGAUGGAGGGGUCCCUGGGGCCAGUGUCUCCCCAGCACCGCCGGCCUCCAAGCAGGAUAACCCUUUUGGGGCGGGAGCCCCCCAUGUGCAUGGCAGGACGUCAGCAGCAUCCCUGGCCUUUCCCCCACUAGAUGCCACGUGCACCCACGCAGCUGAGAACUGCCGCUUCACUUGAGACCGAAAACCCUCUCCUGGCCGAACGUCCACGCCCCACGGGACGAAAGUGCUCUCCACGCAGGCCCGCGUACUCCUGACAUGUUAGGGGGUGGCCACUGCCUGCUCCCCGCGGAGGAGGGCUGUUUCCUAGACCCAAAGGUGCGGCUGCAUGAGUCACAGCCGCCUAGAGCUUGGGGGCAGGAGGAGACUGGAUGAAUAAGUACGUUCCCCUGCUGGCUCACUGCGUGCGCGCUCAGUCAUGCCUGACUCUGUGUGACCCCGUGGACUGCAGCCCACCAGGCUCUUCUAUCCAUGGGAUGCUCCAGGCAAGAAUCCGGGAGUGGGGUGCCAUGCACUGCUCCAGGGGAUCUUGCUCAUCCAGGGACUGAACCCGCAUCUCCUGCGUUGGCAGGUGGAUUGACCGCCGAGCCACCUGGG